AUUUUUAUCACUCGCGUGACAACGCGGUGCAUGUUUUUUAUUCGCAACCUUUAAAAGUACAAACGCUGCUUGUACCUUUCGAAAUAGUACAAAAUAGUGGGAGAAACGUGGAUCUUCUGGCCAUGCAUGCAGACUCUUCUUGCAUACCACAAAUUUUAUUGCUCAAGGACAUGUAAAGUGGCAUUGUAAAUCGUGACAGCUUCGUUCUAUUAUUAAUGCAAUGUUUGUGUUUGACAGUAAACCUUGAGAAUGGAGGAUUUUAAUCAAAAGUCAGUAAUCGAGUGGCUUAACAAUACAGUGACAAAGUUCCCAUGGAUUACUUAGCAGCGACUGCCUUGGGUUUUGGUCCUUCCCUAAAUCCGUUCCUGAAAAAGAGAGAGAUAUUAAUUGUAUAUCAUGUAAAUAGUUUAUACAAAUCUGAAGGUGUAGAUCAAAUACUAUGAUAUAAUUAUUACACACAAGGAUUACUGAUAACCUAACCUAACAAUAAUAUCCAUGUUAAAAUAAAUGUUUAAUUCAAAACUUACUUGAACUUGCGACGGACAAUCUUAAGAUGUCGCAUACGACCAGUACCAGUGGUCUUCCUCCUUUUGGCUUUUAUGGACCAAUUGUCUAAAAAGAUAUUUACAAAUAAAACUCAAUGUACUAAUUUAGUACCAC